rnacentral:rRNA from 1 species
UACGGAGGGUGCGAGCGUUGUCCGGAAUCACUGGGCGUAAAGGGCGCGUAGGCGGCCUGAUAAGUAGGGGGUGAAAUCCUGCGGCUUAACCGCAGGGCUGCCUUCUAAACUGUCAGGCUUGAGCACAGUAGAGGCAGGUGGAAUUCCCGGUGUAGCGGUGGAAUGCGUAGAGAUCGGGAAGAACAUCAGUGGCGAAGGCGGCCUGCUGGGCUGUUGCUGACGCUGAGGCGCGACAGCGUGGGGGAGCGAACAGG